rnacentral:misc_RNA from 1 species
ACCUAUAACACAACAUCCAAGAUGAUAGAAC